GAUGAACGCUAGCUACAGGCUUAACACAUGCAAGUCGAGGGGUAACAAGAGAAAAGCUUGCUUUUCUUGUUGACGACCGGCGCACGGGUGAGUAACGCGUAUCCAACCUGCCUAUAACUAGGGAAUAACCUUGCGAAAGUAAGACUAAUGCCCUAUGAUUUCCUUUGAUGACAUCAAAUUAGGAAUAAAGAUUUAUCGGUUAUAGAUGGGGAUGCGUCUGAUUAGCUUGUUGGCGGGGUAACGGCCCACCAAGGCAACGAUCAGUAGGGGUUCUUAGAGGAAGGUGCCCCACAUUGGAACUGAGACACGGUCCAAACUCCUACGGGAGGCAGCAGUGAGGAAUAUUGGUCAAUGGGCGGAAGCCUGAACCAGCCAAGUAGCGUGCAGGAUGACGGCCCUAUGGGUUGUAAACUGCUUUUAUACAGGGAUAAAGUUAGCCACGUGUGGUUAUUUGCAGGUACUGUAUGAAUAAGGACCGGCUAAUUCCGUGCCAGCCGCCGCGGUAAUAC
rnacentral:rRNA from 1 species